rnacentral:rRNA from 1 species
AUUGAACGCUGGCGGCAUGCUUUACACAUGCAAGUCGAACGGCAGCGCGGGCUUCGGCCUGGCGGCGAGUGGCGAACGGGUGAGUAAUGCAUCGGAACGUGCCCAGUAGUUGGGGAUAGCCCGGCGAAAGCCGGAUUAAUACCGCAUACGACCUGAGGGUGAAAGCGGGGGACCGAAAGGCCUCGCGCUAUUGGAGCGGCCGAUGUCGGAUUAGCUAGUUGGUGGGGUAAAGGCUUACCAAGGCGACGAUCCGUAGCUGGUCUGAGAGGACGACCAGCCACACUGGAACUGAGACACGGCCCAGACUCCUACGGGAGGCAGCAGUGGGGAAUUUUGGACAAUGGGGGCAACCCUGAUCCAGCCAUGCCGCGUGCGGGAAGAAGGCCUUCGGGUUGUAAACCGCUUUUGUUCGGGAAGAAAUCCUCUGGGCUAAUACCCCGGGGGGAUGACGGUACCGGAAGAAUAAGCACCGGCUAACUACGUG